AUGCCAUGGUGAGGGCAGUUGGCGCAAAGCAUCCUAAAUCUAUCCCAUGCUUGGUAAAAAUUCUCAUCCUUUUCUUGUUGAAAAGCAGCAAUUCGUUGUCUUCCUUU
rfam:Corchorus capsularis cultivar CVL-1 contig12775, whole genome shotgun sequence.